ACGCUCGACACCUACGAGAGGCAGCAGUGGGGAAUAUUGCACAAUGGGGGAAACCCUGAUGCAGCGACGCCGCGUGAGCGAAGAAGUAUUUCGGUAUGUAAAGCUCUAUCAGCAGGGAAGAAACUGACGGUACCUGACUAAGAAGCACCGGCUAAAUACGCGCCAGCAGCCGCGGUAAUCUGAGCGGGCUGGCAAGGC
rnacentral:rRNA from 1 species